rnacentral:rRNA from 1 species
AUGGAAGAAGAGAAGAAAUCACAAUUGCUGUCACCAUCGCCGUGGUCAGCCCUCCCGCUGGACCUAGCAAGCCUGGUGCUCAGCCUGCUCCCCAUGUAUGCCGACCGCGCCUGCUUUGCCGCGGUCUGCCCGCAGUGGCGUGCCGCUGCGAGGCAGCUCCAGAUACCACCGCUGCCGCUGCUGGCACUCCCCGAUGGCACCUUCUACAGCCUCAUGUACGACAAGCCCUUCCGCUUCCCUGGUUGUGGCUUCGCUGGGUACGAGAAUGUCUGUGGCAGCUGGCUCGUCUUCUCACGCGAUGACGGUUGCUUCAUGGUCAACCCCUUCUCCCGGGCCACCGUGACGCUCCCUGCUCUCUCAAGUGUACGACUCCGGCCUCCAAAUGCGUCUGCUAAAUCUAAAUGGGCAGAGGGCGGAAGCGUAGAAUCUGCUAACCUCUACAUCACAUGGAUGCGUAUCAAUAAAGCAGACAACCUGCGCAUAAGUAAGCUAAUCUUGUGCUCGCCAAAUCUCGUUGCUGCACUAGUUGGCAUUGGACCCUUCAGUCAGAUUCUAAUGUGCCAGCCAGGGGCCUUGUCGUGGUCAGUACGUGCGUAUGAUCGGAUCGAGGAUUUCCAAGACAUGUCAUUCUUCCAGGGCAAGCUGUACGCCAUUGCCAAGGACGAGAACCUUCUUGUGGUGAACAUCAGCCAGGACCAUAGCACCGGCGAUCCACAGGUUUGUCGGAUUGGACGAGUCAUCGAGGGUGAUUGUCCUCCAUGGUAUUAUGGUGUGUUCGAGGACAACAGUCAGGCCUCCAAGAAGCUCUACCUGGUUGAAUCGGGUGGGAUGUUGCUGAUGGUACGCAGGACGAUUUGGUGUCAGUUUCCUGAACCUGGAACGGACGUUGAAAUUAUGGGUGGACAGAAUGAGUUUGAGGUUUUCGAGGCUGACUUUGAGCAUUCACGGUGGGUCAAGGUGUUGACCUUGGGGGAUGACCAAGUGCUGUUUCUGGGGCGAAGGUGCUCGAGGUCCAUGUCGGUGUCGCAGUACGGGUUGCCAGGCGAUUGCAUCUUCUUCUUGGAUGAUGAUGAGGAUAAUUGCCUAGAGUAUGCCUAUGAUGAGGAGAACAGUUCUUUUGGCGUCUACUCCAUGAGAUUUCGCAGCAUCCAUUCCGGUGAUCCAAAUAUUUCCUGGAAGCGCUGCGCUGAGAUGUAUCUGGCAGCAUGGCUCUUCCCCGAGGACCGUUGA